UGAGUUCCUAUAGACCAUAUGAUCAUGUUCACACACACAUGCACACACACACAUGCACACACACACACACACACACACACACACACACACUGAAUAUAAAUAGAAAAUUAAGAGUGUCUAGUAGGAGUGGAGAGAUGGUUCAGCGGUUAAGAGCACCGACUGCUCUUCCAGAGGUCCUGAGUUCAAAUCCCAGCAACAACCACAUGGUGGCUCACAGCCAUCUGUAAUGAGAUCUGAUGCCCUCUUCUGGUGUGUCUAAAGACAGCGACAGUGUACUCAUAUAU
rnacentral:lncRNA from 1 species